AAAUAUAAUUAUAAAACAAAAACCUCUUUCUCCUUCUUCUUCCUCACGCCUCCCUACCCGAAACCCCUUCCCUGUUUUUCCUCUUCACGCAAAACGCUCCAGCCGGCACUACGUGCGUCCGACCAAGCCGCCACAAUCGCCGGUCGUUCAUUCGUGGGUUGCCGUUCGCGCCGCUCGCCCCUCCGCGCGCCGAUCUCGCCCAGCUGGUCAGAGUCGCGUCCACGCCGCUGCCGCUCCAGCCACUUGACCGCUGCGUGUCGCGCCCGUCUCCCAACAGCUUGAGCCGCCGCCGCCUUCAGCCGAUCUACUCUACCGUCCAUGGCCGCGCUGCCUGUCUUCUGUUACGUGGAUCUUUGUCGGACUCUCAGAUUUGGAUCUGAGCUUGAAAAUUUUUAGAAGCGGUUGUCCAGCGGAUUCGAGAUUGUUCGGCAAAAGUUUUGGUGAGAGUUGUGAUCCUUGUUGUUGGUUUGUGGGCACACAUUGAUUAUUGAAUUAAAUUUUGACUUAACCCUUGUACCUUUAAGGUUGGAGUCGAAAUCUUGGGAGUGGUUGUUAAUCAAGUUUGUUGGUAAGUUGUUGGGUAUUUUUUAUUUGAAUAUGAGGUUUCGCAAUUAUUGUUGGACUGAAAUUUAAUGGUGUUAGCAUGAUAAAUUGAUAGUAUGAUCUGAAUCAAAGUAUGUUCUGGUA